ACCCCGGUUGAUCCUGCCGGACCUGACCGCUAUCGGGGUGGGUAGCCAUGCAAGUCGGCGUGGCAGGGGUUAUCAGCUGCCACGCGGCGUACGGCUCAGUAAAACGUGCUCAAACUACCCUCAGGUCCGGGACAACCUCUGGAAACGGAGGAUAAUCCCGGAUAGGUAAGGAGUCUUGGAAUAGCUCCUUACCUAAAGGCGAAGGGCCGACUGCUCUUCGCCGCCUGAGGAUGUGAGCACGGCCUAUCAGGUAGAUGGUGGGGUAACGGCCCACCAUGCCUAAGACGGGUACGGGCCGUGAAAGCGGG
rnacentral:rRNA from 1 species